GCACCAAUGGUCUAGUGGUUAUGAUUUCACCUUCCCAAGGUGGAGAGACGGGUUCGAUUCCCGUUUGGUGCA
rnacentral:tRNA from 1 species